UACGUAGGGUGCAAGCGUUAAUCGGAAUUACUGGGCGUAAAGCGUGCGCAGGCGGUGAUGUAAGACAGAUGUGAAAUCCCCGGGCUCAACCUGGGAAUGGCAAUGGAUACUGGCAGGCUAGAGUGCGGUAGAGGGUAGUGGGAAUUCCCGGUGUAGCGGUGAAAUGCGUAGAGAUCGGGAGGAACACCAGUGGCGAAGGCGGCUACCUGGACCAGCACUGACACUGAGGCACGAAAGCGUGGGGAGCAAACAGG
rnacentral:rRNA from 1 species